rnacentral:lncRNA from 1 species
GUGGGAAAAUGAGAUUUAUAAAUACUAGUUUUCCUUUGAGAUAAUGUAAAUCAAACUUUCAUAAGUUAAGGGUGAUGCAUAAUAUCAUAACUUGUACACUGUGUUUGUAAGGGUUCCCUAAAGUAUUAACAUUCAGGUAAUUUGUGUAAAUUGCAAAAGCAGAAACUGUGAUGUUCGGUUAGUAGUAUGUUGUGUUAGAAGUCUUUUGGGGAUGUAUGUUAUAUACAUAGUUGACUGUUAUUCACUUGCUCCUCUUGUAUUAAGUAGGAGAUACAACAUCCCAAGUCAUUUUUAGAUCAGUUAGCCUUCAGAGACUUCACCUCUCUUCCCAAAUUAUCUCUUCCAAGCUGUCUUCAUCAUCUGUGUUCAGUUACAGUGGAAUUGUUUAUUGAUGUUAAUUUAUGUGUAAAAUAUGGAUUUCAGUGUCCCUUGUACUCUUGCAUCCACUGUUGGCAGUAGCCAAAGCUAGCUUCAUAGUCUUACCAGGAGAGACAGCAUUCUGCCGUAAUGAACUGUGGUGCUGCCAGAGGGAUUUUUUUCCCCCUUUCAACUGUUUUACUUAAGUUACUGGAUAAGCAGUUGAGUUUACAUUAAAACAAUGAAAUGCUAUAUCUUGUCUAUAUUCUGCCUCUUCCAAAUUGGAUGUUUUUUUUUUUUGUUAAUAAUUUUUCACUUCCUUAUCAAUCUUUUAUAGGGGGCUAGUGAUGAGAGGGGUUAAAAUAAAACUCCCUCCUUCCAGUUUUUUUGAGCAGUUUUCUGGUACCUCCCUUGUUGCCCUCAUUUUUACAUGGGUUGU